rnacentral:rRNA from 1 species
UAGGGAAUCUUCGGCAAUGGACGAAAGUCUGACCGAGCAACGCCGCGUGAGUGAAGAAGGUUUUCGGAUCGUAAAACUCUGUUGUUAGAGAAGAACAAGGACGUUAGUAACUGAACGUCCCCUGACGGUAUCUAACCAGAAAGCCACGGCUAACUACGUGCCAGCAGCCGCGGUAAUACGUAGGUGGCAAGCGUUGUCCGGAUUUAUUGGGCGUAAAGCGAGCGCAGGCGGUUUCUUAAGUCUGAUGUGAAAGCCCCCGGCUCAACCGGGGAGGGUCAUUGGAAAAUGGGAGACUUGAGUGCAGAAGAGGAGAGUGGAAUUCCAUGUGUAGCGGUGAAAUGCGUAGAUAUGUGGAGGAACACCAGUGGCGAAGGCGGCUCUCUGGUCUGUAACUGACGCUGAGGCUCGAAAGCGUGGGGAGCAAACAGG